rnacentral:tRNA from 2 species
GGGGGUAUAGCUCAGUGGUAGAGCAUUUGACUGCAGACCAAAAGGUCCCCAGUUCAACUCUGGGUGCCCCCU